rnacentral:rRNA from 1 species
GAUGAACGCUAGCGGCAGGCUUAACACAUGCAAGUCGAGGGGUAGAAGUUGCUUGCAACUUUGAGACCGGCGCACGGGUGCGUAACGCGUAUGCAAUCUGCCUUGUACUGAGGGAUAGCCCAGAGAAAUUUGGAUUAAUACCUCAUAGCAUUAUGAUGUGGCAUCACAUUAUAAUUAAAGUUCUAACGGUACAAGAUGAGCAUGCGUCCCAUUAGUUAGUUGGUAAGGUAACGGCUUACCAAGACGAUGAUGGGUAGGGGUCCUGAGAGGGAGAUCCCCCACACUGGUACUGAGACACGGACCAGACUCCUACGGGAGGCAGCAGUGAGGAAUAUUGGUCAAUGGGCGCAAGCCUGAACCAGCCAUGCCGCGUGCAGGAUGACGCAUCUAUGGUGUGUAAACUGCUUUUGUACAGGAAGAAACACUCCCUCGUGAGGGAGCUUGACGGUACUGUAAGAAUAAGGAUCGGCUAACUCCGUGCCAGCAGCCGCAGUAA